UACGGAGGGUGCGAGCGUUGUCCGGAAUCACUGGGCGUAAAGGGCGCGUAGGUGGCGCGGGAAGUCAACGGUGAAAGUUCGGGGCUCAACCCUGAAUCGGCCGUCGAUACUCCCGGGCUCGAGCACUGUAGAGGCAGAUGGAAUUCCGGGUGUAGCGGCGGAAUGCGUAGAGAUCCGGAAGAACACCGGUGGCGAAGGCGGUCUGCUGGGCAGUUGCUGACACUGAUGCGCGACAGCGUGGGGAGCAAACAGG
rnacentral:rRNA from 1 species